rnacentral:snRNA from 1 species
GAAUGUGAGGGUGAUCUGGUAGUGACAUCUGCCACACCCAUGGAUUGUCAGAAUCAUUCAUCACCAGAGGGGAUUCCCUUCCUGUAUUACCACUCCCUGUGACUUCCUCCUGAAGUUGUGGCUGGGUCAAAGUGGAUAAGCUUCCCAGUAUGGAGGAGGGCUGAUCUUCAGUCAAGGCUAAAUAACUGUAACUAAGCUUCCCUGACAGAACUUCUAAACCUGCUCUCAAAGAUGGAGGUGAUAAGAUUACAUGACUGAUUGAAAUAAUAUGUGAGGGAAGCAGAGGGUUUAAGGAUGAUCCUGCACUUUUUU